GCCUUUGUGGUGUAAUGGUUAGCAUGGACGCCUUCCAAGCAUUCGACGGGGGUUCGAUUCUCCCCAAACGCA
rfam:Angiostrongylus costaricensis strain Costa Rica genome assembly, scaffold: ACOC_contig0003219